CGGCCAAGUUCGCGGCGUAUGACUGACUCGCCGCAUUCAACAGCUGGCCAGUGAGCGACGGACUGGUGGCGUAUGAUUCCUCGUGGCUCGCGCUUGAUGAUAAACAACACGCAGCAGGCCGUAUCGAUGACAUUAGCGCAGACGUGAUCCUCAGCUCCGAGCUCGUUUUUCCUUUCUCGAGGUCCGCUCCUGGUCCAGGCUCCUGGCUCGUCCCCGCUCGACCACUCGAAUCUCCAGCUUCGUAUGCCGCGGACGGGAAGCCGACUCUGCCGCCCCGUGAGUAGGUGUCCUUCCUUCUGGAGCGCCGCAUCGAUACGCCAUGCACAACAGUUACGACGUGAAGCCCAGCGGCGGCGAUGCCACCGUCACGACGGUGCCGCAUCAGCGCAUGCACGAGUCGGAGGCUGGCAAGGUGGCUGCCACCGAGAACACCUCCCUGGCGCCGAACAACAAUCAGACCUACUUCGCCGACGAGAGGGUGCAGGUGCCGGAAACGGGACAUACGGGGUUUAGCUUUAGGAAACUAUGGGCUUUCACCGGACCGGGCUUCUUAAUGUCCAUAGCUUAUCUCGACCCUGGCAACAUAGAGUCGGAUCUGCAAUCCGGAGUAGUCGCGAGAUACAAGUUGUUAUGGGUACUACUAAGCGCUACUAUCCUAGGUCUCGUUAUGCAGAGGCUCAGCGCGCGCCUCGGCGUGGUAACCGGUCUACAUCUAGCAGAGAUGUGUUACAGACAGUACAAAAAAGUACCUAGAUUUAUUUUAUGGAUAAUGAUUGAGAUAGCAAUUAUUGGUAGCGAUAUGCAAGAGGUAAUAGGAACGGCUAUUGCCCUUUACCUCUUAUCUAACAAAGCGAUUCCUAUAUGGAGUGGCGUGCUUAUCACGGUCAUCGAUACGUUCACAUUUUUAUUCCUGGACAAAUACGGACUGAGAAAAUUGGAGUUCUUCUUCGGUACCCUCAUCAUGAUCAUGGCUGUCACGUUCGGUUAUGAGUACGUCGUUUCCGCGCCUUCUCAAAUAGACGUCAUAACAGGUAUGUUUGUGCCAUGGUACAAUGGAAUGAGUUACGACAAUAAGGUACUGCUUCAGGCUGUAGGAAUCGUCGGCGCGGUUAUUAUGCCGCAUAAUUUGUACCUUCACAGUGCCUUGGUCAAAUCCAGAGACAUUGACCGAAGACAGCCUGCAAAGAUCAAAGAUGCCAACAUGUAUUACUUUAUUGAGGCCUGCAUCGCGCUGUUUGUUUCAUUUAUAAUCAACGUGUUUGUCGUGGCGGUAUUUGCACACGGUCUUUUCGAUAAAACGAACAACGAUGUUUAUAAAAUUUGCGAGGCAAACAAUUAUACUCUCGGCAUGGAGACCUUUGAUAGAAAUGAUAAUACGACACUGAAAGCUGAUCUUUACAAGGGAGGGAUCUUCCUCGGCUGUUCCUUCGGUGCAGCUGCAAUGUACAUAUGGGCUGUCGGCAUUUUAGCCGCCGGGCAAUCGUCCACGAUGACUGGCACUUACGCCGGUCAAUUCGCGAUGGAAGGAUUCUUGAACCUGCAGUGGGCACGAUGGAAGCGGGUCCUCUUCACUCGAACGAUCGCUAUAGUUCCUACGUUCUUAGUGGCGUUCUUCGCCGACAUGAAUAACUUGAGCAACAUGAACGAUAUCUUAAACGCUAUAAUGAGCUUGCAAUUACCGUUCGCCACCCUGCCGACAAUCGCCUUCACAAGCAGCGCUCAAAUUAUGGGUGAAUUCCGGAACGGAAUACUAAACAAGAUCGUGUCGACUGCUUUGUCGGUCCUAGUGAUAACGAUAAACAUAUACUUCGUAAUACAAACUGUCCGAGAAGACCUGCCCCACCACUGGGCCAUAUACCUAGGCAUGUCUAUAUACGCGAUUUUGUAUCUUAUUUUCUGCGCCUACUUGGCUAUCCACAUGGCUGUGAGCAUGGGUGCAACUUCUCUCGAUAACAAUUGGUUUGUCAACAAGUACAUUGGUACGCCCGUAAGUCCGACCCUCGGUAUUUCGAAUCCUGCCGUUUAUGCCAGCUUUCACAAUACAUCGGAAACCUCGUUAAACGCUUAGUCGGCGUAGUGCAAUUAAAUGUGCAGUUGAGACAAUAUGUGGCCUUUGUCUUUCACAAACACGUGAAAACAAUGUCGCGGAAAGGGGCUUGUAUCAUCUCUCGUGACGUCAGCAUGAUGCCCGAUGAACAAAUCCAGCGUUUACUAUUCAAGAGAGCGGCAGUUUUUCAUCUUUACCAGAAUGGUAACAUCUUGACGAGUAUAUGUCAUCACUCGGAUAGGUAAACGAUACGAUGGGGACUGAAAAAGUCUAUUUUCAUUCGAAUAAUUUAAAUAAGAGUUAAUGUUUAAUGCCUGAUGCAUCGCAUAGACAUUCCAGUGAUAAUAUCAUGUAUUUAAAAUUUUUUAUCAUAUAUAUGAAGGCAUGAUAAUUCAAAUGUUAAUUUUUGUGCAAAAACAACCGGUAUAUUAGCAAUAUUACGUAAUCGGCGAUCAACCUUUUUCUCAUUCAAGUAUUUUUUAUUAUAACGAUAUAGUUUUUAACAUUAUUAACACCUUGAAACAUCUAGGUUGAUUUUGCAAAUUAUAUACGUCCAUAUAUAUAUUUGGAGAUACUGAAUUUAGAUAAAUACAUUAAGUUUUGUAUCGAUCCUCCAUCCAUAAUUACCUAACUACGUACGAUGUGCAAAGUAAUGUAAAUACUGGUUCGAAUGAAUUAAUUUUUAUUGGUCUGCAUAUAAAAUAAGUAACGUAUCCGCAAUUUUUGUUCAACAGCAGCAGAUGCGAUAAGUUUUUUUUCGCGGAUUACAUAUCACGCUAUUGUUAGUAGUAUCACAAAAAUAUUCCUAACAAGACGCACACUUUUCUCUUAUUUAUAAGUACUCUAAAGUAAGUCGAGACACGCACUUAGUCGCAGAACUAAGUUGUAAGAUGGUCAAUUUUAAAACAGGAACAUGUUCCGUAUAUUGUAACUUAACCCGCAGAUGUAUAAAAAUUAGAAAAAGAUGUAUUUUUACAAAUGUACCGCAUGAUGAUUUGAAUAAUUAUUACCGCGUCUGUUUGAGAUAACCGAGUUUCUGUAAAUAAAAUUUGUUUACGGGCAGUGUAA